AUUUUUAGCAUGCCGUCAACGUGCAUGUGAGGACGUGUGUGCUGUGAGAGCAUGUGGUGCAGAGGCCACAUCCCUGUGAUUUAUCAGCUAUCCUCACCCUUGCAGGUGGACCUGGAGAGACCCACUCUGACCUGCUCCAGCACUGCAGGGAAACCUGUCGUUUGCAAGAGGAUGUUCAGUUCACAACCACGGGGAGAUACAUGUCUGGAAGAGAAGAGCCAGCUAUCUGCCAAAGCCAUCAGCCUGCAAGCGCUCGCAGGAACUCGUGUGCUCUCCCUGCUGAUCUUGCUGGUUUAGUAAGGAAAAGCAGUCCUGGCUGCAGAGGAUGUCUGGUGCUCACAGGAGGGACAAAGCAGAUCCAAAACUGUAGGUAAGGAGGUCACUUGCUGGGGAAAAAUGGGGGGAGGUGAGUGGUUUAAAUGAUCUUAAAACCAGC
rnacentral:lncRNA from 1 species